ACCAGCGGUGAUAGCACGUAGCUCGUUGGAUGCACUGUUCCCGACGGAUCAUUAAAGUUAAGCAUCGAUGCGCGUGUUUAGUACCUAGAUGGGUGGCCAUCUGGGGAAUCACAUGCUGCUGGGU
rnacentral:rRNA from 1 species